rnacentral:rRNA from 1 species
CAGCCGCCGCGGGAAUACAGAGGGUGCGAGCGUUAAUCGGAUUUACUGGGCGUAAAGCGUGCGUAGGCGGCUUUUUAAGUCGGAUGUGAAAUCCCUGAGCUUAACUUAGGAAUUGCAUUCGAUACUGGGAAGCUAGAGUAUGGGAGAGGAUGGUAGAAUUCCAGGUGUAGCGGUGAAAUGCGUAGAGAUCUGGAGGAAUACCGAUGGCGAAGGCAGCCAUCUGGCCUAAUACUGACGCUGAGGUACGAAAGCAUGGGGAGCAAACAGGAUUAGAGACCCCAGUAGUCCCUGUCUCUUAUAA